UAAAGUAUUCUUCAUCACAGAUUUGCUUCCUUUGGCUAAUCCACUUGCUGUUUCCAGGAAUGAGAGCGAGAGGUUUGUAUUCGUGCCGUCUAAUGAUUUGGAGCUGCUAAGAUCUCUGAAAGGCAUCGCAGCUACAAAUUCAAAGAGGGUUUAUCACCUUUUUGGGCAUCUUUCCAAGUAGCUCCAUCAUUAAAGCCACAUGAUCCUGCAAUGGUAUCUACUGGUAAUUGAGUCGAUUAUAACUUCUACUGUCGAUCAAUCGGAAGGAUUUGAUUCCUCUUCUCUUCCUCAUCCGACUCCGACUCCGCCUUCCUCCAGCCCGGGUGUUGGCGGCGAUGGCAGCUCCGUGGCACCGAGGGAGUCGGUCACAUUCGCAAGGCGAAGCAGCUGAUCCGAUUGGUGAACGUGGAGGCGCUUGAACAGAGGCCGCUACCUUUGUCCGCAUCUUAGAUGACGCCAAUGUCGUCCUCUUGUUCAGAGACAAGUGGGAAAGAUGAUGGAGGAAGCUUCGUACAUGAAGAUGAUAAUGAACGAGUAGAUAGAGGUCCUGAGGAGGCAAAUCUCCGCCUACGCCACCAUCUCCGAGCAACUGAUGGAGAUACACAGGGCCAUCAAAACACUGCAAGACUCAUUCUCAUGUUUUCUCUCCUAAAAAUUUGAUUUUUGGUUUAAGAUAGAGUUGAAUUGGCAUUUUUUUGUGAUAAUUCUCUGUUUUAGCAUAGAAGGGUAGGUCCUGAGUAAUGGAAAACUUGAUUUGUUGCUUGAAUAUUCAUUUCAUCGAAUCAAGCUAAUUCUAUUGGGUAUCAUU